GAGUUGUAUGUCUUCGGCGGUCAAAGAAAGCGGGCUUUCGUCCUGCUCCAGGGCGGCCAUUUGCUGUUCGAUCAGCAUCAGCACG
rnacentral:tRNA from 1 species